UGGGGCGUCGUCUAACGGCAGGACUCCGGUCUCUGACACCGUCAAUUAUGGUUCGAAUCCAUACGCCCCAA
rnacentral:tRNA from 1 species